rnacentral:lncRNA from 1 species
UUCUAAAUUAUAUAUACGGGGUCUCGAAAAAGGUCAUUGGGUUUUCUCUAUCUUAGCUCUACUGUAGACAUAUGAAAGUUUUCUUCUUAACAAGGGCAUAAGACCACUCCAUAUAAAUGCAAGUUAGUCUCACUAAGAAACUAAAAAAAAGAAAGUAGGACAACAACCACAUACCUUGUCCGUCGACAGACUCCAGUUUGAACUUUUGGAAAGAAUCACAUAUCUUGUCAGCUUAUCGGGGAUUCCAGAUUUGAACUUUUGGAAAGUACACAAGCAUAAAUAGACAAAGAAAAUAGAGGUCAAAAUAUUGGACAACCCUGGAAUCAAAGAUUAAAAAUCAGAUUUUGUAUAAAUUAUCAAAUAUGAAAUAUAAGAGAAAAACAUGAAGCAAAAUAUCAAAAAAGAAGAAUUGAAGAACGAAGAAGAGUCUAACUUCUAAGGGAAAAAGUGGUAGCAACUAGCAGCAAAAGUCAAUCAAUAGAGACAGAGUCACACGGUCACAUAGCAUAUCAACAGAAACCUAGUUUUUUUUUUAUUUGGGAAUUUUGAUUUCGUCCUUGUUUGGAGUUGGAAG